rnacentral:rRNA from 1 species
AUUGAGCGCUGGCGGCAUGCCUUACACAUGCAAGUCGAACGGCAGCAUGGAGAGCUUGCUCUCUGAUGGCGAGUGGCGAACGGGUGAGUAAUGCAUCGGAACGUACCGUGUAAUGGGGGAUAACGUAGCGAAAGUUACGCUAAUACCGCAUACGACCUGAGGGUGAAAGCAGGGGAUCGCAAGACCUUGCGUUAUACGAGCGGCCGAUGUCAGAUUAGCUAGUUGGUGAGGUAAAGGCUCACCAAGGCGACGAUCUGUAGCGGGUCUGAGAGGAUGAUCCGCCACACGGGGACUGAGACACGGCCCAGACUCCUACGGGAGGAAGCAGUGGGGAAUUUUGGACAAUGGGGGCAACCCUGAUCCAGCCAUGCCGCGUGAGUGAAGAAGGCCUUCGAGUUGUAAAGCUCUUUCGGCCGGGAAGAAAUCGCACAGGCUAAUACUCUGUGUGGAUGACGGUACCGGCAUAAGAAGCACCGGCUAACUACGUGCCAGCAGCCGCCGUAA